rnacentral:lncRNA from 1 species
GAAAAAUGGCUAACAUGCUUGGAACUGACGAUGAUUUGAACUUCAAAGAGACCGAACUGUGUCUUGGUUUGCCCGGUGGAAUCGCUGUUGUUGCUGCAGGUAAUGAAACGGAAAGUUCUUCUUCCCCAAAGACUAAUGGCAAGAGAGGCUUCUCUGAGACUGUUGAUUUGAAGCUUAAUCUUCAAUCCAAAGAAUCUACCAUGGAUCUAAACAAGAACCUUGAUGACAAUGGUUCUAAGGAAAAAUCAGGUUCUGCCAAAGAUCCUGCAAAACCUCCUGCCAAGUAAGUCAUAAUUAUAAGACCGACCAAACCCAGUUUUUGUUUAGGGUUCUUUUUUAACAUGGGUCUUUUUUUUUACAGGGCACAAGUGGUGGGUUGGCCACCAGUUCGAUCAUAUAGGAAGAACAUAAUGGCUAACCAGAAGAACAGCAGUGAAGAAAGUGGGAAUAGUGGUGCAGCUUUGGUGAAAGUGAGUAUGGAUGGUGCACCAUAUCUGAGAAAAGUUGAUUUGAAGAUGUAUAAGAGUUACCAAGAGUUAUCCGAUGCCUUGGCUAAGAUGUUUAGCUCUUUC